GCCUGCUUGGCGGAAUGGUAGACGCCACAGACUUAAAAUCUGUUGUCCUCCGGGGCGUACCGGUUCGAGUCCGGUAGCAGGCACCA
rnacentral:tRNA from 1 species